CCUACGGGUGGCUGCAGUGAGGAAUAUUGGUCAAUGGACGAGAGUCUGAACCAGCCAAGUCGCGUGAAGGACGACGGCCCUAUGGGUUGUAAACUUCUUUUAUCGGGGAAUAAAAGGAGGCACGUGUGCCUUUUUGAAUGUACUUUACGAAUAAGCAUCGGCUAACUCCGUGCCAGCAGCCGCGGUAAUACGGAGGAUUCGAGCGUUAUCCGGAUUUAUUGGGGUUAAAGGGUGCGGAGUUGGGGUGAUAAGUCAGAUGUGAAAGUUCGCGGCUCAACCCUAGAAUUGCAGUUGAUACUGGCAGUCUUGAGUGCAGGAGAGGUAGGCGGAAUGCGUGGUGUAGCGGUGAAAUGCUUAGAUAUCACGAAGAACCCCGAUGGCGAAGGCAGCUUACUAGACUAUGACUGACGUUGAUGCGCGAAAGUGUGGGUAUCAAACAGGAUUAGAUACCCCUGUAGUC
rnacentral:rRNA from 1 species